UACGUAGGCAGCGAGCGUUGUUCGGAGUUACUGGGCGUAAAGGGCGCGUAGGUGGCCCGGUCAGUUCGUGGUGAAAGCGCGGGGCUCAACCCUGCGUCGGCCAUGAAUACUGCCGCGGCUGGAGCACUGUAGAGGCAGGCGGAAUUCCGGGUGUAGCGGUGGAAUGCGUAGAGAUCCGGAAGAACACCGGUGGCGAAGGCGGCCUGCUGGGCAGUUGCUGACACUGAGGCGCGACAGCGUGGGGAGCAAACAGG
rnacentral:rRNA from 1 species